UACAGAGGGUGCAAGCGUUGCUCGGAUUUACUGGGCGUAAAGCGUACGCAGACGGUGAGGCAAGUCGGGUGUGAAAGCCCCGGGCUCAACCCGGGAACUGCAUUCGAUACUACUUCGCUCGAGUAUGAGAGAGGAAAGCGGAAUUCCUGGUGUAGAGGUGAAAUUCGUAGAUAUCAGGAGGAACACCGGCGGCGAAGGCGGCUUCUGGCUCAUUACUGACGUUCAGGUACGAAAGCGUGGGUAGCAAACAGG
rnacentral:rRNA from 1 species